UACGUAGGUGGCAAGCGUUGUCCGGAUUUACUGGGUGUAAAGGGCGUGCAGCCGGAGAGACAAGUCAGAUGUGAAAUCCACAGGCUCAACCUGUGAACUGCAUUUGAAACUGUUUCCCUUGAGUAUCGGAGAGGUCAUCGGAAUUCCACGUGUAGCAGUGAAAUGCGUAGAUAUGUGGAAGAACACCGAUGGCGAAGGCAGCCUCCUGGGACGCAACUGACGCUCAUACACGAAAGCGUGGGGAGCAAACAGG
rnacentral:rRNA from 1 species